rnacentral:rRNA from 1 species
AUUGAACGCUGGCGGCAUGCCUUACACAUGCAAGUCGAACGGCAGCACGGGGGCAACCCUGGUGGCGAGUGGCGAACGGGUGAGUAAAGCAUCGGAACGUGCCCAAUAGUGGGGGAUAGCCCGGCGAAAGCCGGAUUAAUACCGCAUACGACCUGAGGGUGAAAGCGGGGGAUCGCAAGACCUCGCGCUACUGGAGCGGCCGAUGUCAGAUUAGGUAGUUGGUGGGGUAAAGGCCUACCAAGCCUGCGAUCUGUAGCUGGUCUGAGAGGACGACCAGCCACACUGGGACUGAGACACGGCCCAGACUCCUACGGGAGGCAGCAGUGGGGAAUUUUGGACAAUGGGCGAAAGCCUGAUCCAGCCAUGCCGCGUGC